ensembl:lncRNA
CGCCUUUAUGUUCUUAGUUUGGUAAUUAAUCAAGAUUAUUAAUUAAUUUAUUAAUAAAGAUGUUAAAAUGGCCAAAAUAAAACGGGACAGUCCAGAAAAUGUUUGCGCAGGCAGGGCACUCAAAAUGUGUGAGAGAAAGUGGGGGGAUUUGUGCAGACUGACAUAGGCUAAUCAUAAAACGUAGCAUAAAAUAAUGUAAAAAAAAAUUUAAAUUAAACAAAUUAAAAAAAAUAACGAAAUUAAAGAAAUUAAAAAAAAUAAAGAAAUAAAAAAAAUUAUAAAAAACAAGCAAAGAAGCAGGCAAAAGGCUGGGAUAUUGUGGGGAUUGGUCAAGUUGACGGGAAUGUUUAGUGACAUGAGGGAGGGUGGAGGGGGUUAAAAAAAAGUCAAUCACUAUUCGACGCGCAUGAAAACCAGCCGCGUAGUUAUGAGGGAGGCCGUCCUCACACCGAUCUUCCUCAUCGUCAUCGUCCUCAACGUCCUCCGGUUCAAGCAAUGCCACCCCAGCCUUAGCUGCAAUGUUGUGCAACAUAGCCGUCACACAUAUCACGGCGCAUGACUUGGCCGGCGAAAACUGACUUGUGAAGGCAUCUAAAGCGCAACUUCCACCUCCCGAUCGUGCGCUCAACGAUGCACCGGGCCAGACGGUGGGCUUCGUUGUAUUCCUCAUCAUGGACGUCUCCCGGGUUAUUCACAGGCUACUCUGCUGUUGUCCUUGAUGGGGAUAUAUUUUAACCCUUUUUAACACAAUUUUCCUGCGACAUUCCUGCGUCUCCCCCUCCUACGGAGCCCAUUUCAGCACCGUGUCAGUAGACAGUUACAAUCCUACGACGUCGUGAGUGCAGCGGAUGCGCGUUCACGUUAAGAGGAGUUUCGGGAAACGCUCCAAAGAAAUUGACGAUGGAUCGCAAGAUCCAUCGGGAGAAUGAUCGUACGAGCGAAGAUCCAUCGUUAUCGGGAAACGGGGCCCAGGUUCGGAUCCCUGCAAAAAUGUUGACAGGGGUUCCACUGUCGAUAUUUAUUGGUCAACAUGGAAAAAACAUGAGGGUAACUCUGUCGUUUUUUAUCGCCGUCAUGAAAUAAACAUACGGGGUAACACUGUCGAUAUUCAUCAAAGAAAACAUAUGGG